AACUAAACCUCCGCUAGGGUUCUUUCGUUUCAACCCGAGCCCAACUUCUUCAAUGCUUCAGCUGAUCAACCAACGCAUGCGUUCCCUCUCUCUAGACAACGCAGUUGGGUUUCUUCCUCCUUCUUCAAACACGCUAUUAGGGUUUCAAACUUUCACCUAUGCUCCCAUUUUCUGUUGGAGCGUCGUUUCAACGUAGCUUCCCAACCCUUUUUCUCGUUAGGAUCCAUGUACACGGCCUCGCUGCCAUUAAGAUCUUUUCUUCUUUCCUUCCAUUCUCCGUUUGCCUCUAUUCUAUAAAGGGGUAAACCAUUGUUUGUAAACAUUUAGCUUAGAUGAAUGAUAAAUCUGGUUGAGAAUACUCCCAUUUUCGUCUCUGCUCAAACCCUUCACCUUAGAUUAGGAUUUAUCCUCCUAGGGUUUCCAAACCAGUGAGAUUCGAGCGUUACUCACCAAUUAUAAGCCUUUCGCUGCAUUUUCCAGUCAUUUCCACUGAUGAUGAUAUUAUGUCUAUCUCUCUGAUUCUGCCAUUCAAUGUAUAUAUCACAGUGAUAACCUUUCUACAAGGUGCAGCUGUGGUGAGGAAAAACAAAUUGAGUGGCCACCGAGAGGAAAAAGGAGUGAGUUGGGACCUUCAAGGAGGAGUGCACGCACUUGAGG